rnacentral:rRNA from 1 species
GACGAAUGCUGGCGGCGUGCUUAACACAUGCAAGUCGAGCGGUAAGGCCCUUUCGGGGGGUACACGAGCGGCGAAACGGGUGAGUAACACGUGGGUGACCUGCCCUCAGCUCUGGGAUAAGCCUGGGAAACCGGGUCUAAUACUGGAUAUGACUCCAUGACGCAUGUUGUGGGGUGGAAAGCCUUGUGCGGCUGAGGAUGGGCCCGCGGCCUAUCAGCUUGUU